rnacentral:rRNA from 1 species
UGCCUACACAUGCNACUCGAACGGUAACAGGAAUAGCUUGCUAUUUGCUGACGAGUGGCGGACGGGUGAGUAAUGUAUAGGAACUUGCCUAGUAGGUGGGGGACAACUUAUGGAAACGUAAGCUAAUACCGCAUAAUCUCUACGGAGGAAAGUGGGGGACCUUUCGGGGCCUCACGCUAUUAGAUAGGCCUAUAUCAGAUUAGCUAGUUGGUGAGGUAAUGGCUCACCAAGGCGACGAUCUGUAGCUGGUUUGAGAGAAUGAUCAGCCACACUGGGACUGAGACACGGCCCAGACUCCUACGGGAGGCAGCAGUGGGGAAUAUUGCACAAUGGAGGAAACUCUGAUGCAGCAAUGCCGCGUGUGUGAAGAAGGCCUUAGGGUUGUAAAGCACUUUCAAUAGGGAGGAAAAGUUAGUAGUUAAUAACUGCUAGCCGUGACGUUACCUAUAGAAGAAGGACCGGCUAACUCCGUGCCAGCAGCCGCGGUAAUACGGAGGGUCCGAGCGUUAAUCGGAAUUACUGGGCGUAAAGCGCGCGCAGGCGGUUUACUCAGUCAGAUGUGAAAGCCCCGGGCUCAACCUGGGAACUGCAUUUGAUACUGGUAGGCUAGAGUAUGGUAGAGGUGAGUGGAAUUUCAGGUGUAGCGGUGAAAUGCGUAGAGAUCUGAAGGAACAUCAGUGGUGAAGGCGACUCACUGGGCCAUUACUGACGCUGAGGUGCGAAAGCGUGGGUAGCAAACAGGAUUAGAUACCCUGGUAGUCCACGCCCUAAACGAUG